CCUGGCUCAGAUUGAACGCUGGCGGCAGGCCUAACACAUGCAAGUCGAACGGUAACAGGAAGAAGCUUGCUUCUUUGCUGACGAGUGGCGGACGGGUGAGUAAUGUCUGGGAAACUGCCUGAUGGAGGGGGAUAACUACUGGAAACGGUAGCUAAUACCGCAUAACGUCGCAAGACCAAAGAGGGGGACCUUCGGGCCUCUUGCCAUCGGAUUUGCCCAGAUGGGAUUAGCUAGUAGGUGGGGUAACGGCUCACCUAGGCGACGAUCCCUAGCUGGUCUGAGAGGAUGACCAGCCACACUGGAACUGAGACACGGUCCAGACUCCUACGGGAGGCAGCAGUGGGGAAUAUUGCACAAUGGGCGCAAGCCUGAUGCAGCCAUGCCGCGUGUAUGAAGAAGGCCUUCGGGUUGUAAAGUACUUUCAGCGGGAGGAAGGGGAGUAAAGUUAAUCCCUUUGCUCAUUGACGUACCCGCAGAAGAAGCACCGGCUAACUCCGUGCCAGCAGCCGCGUUAUACGGAGGGUGCAAGCGUUAAUCGGAAUUACUGGGCGUAAAGCGCACGCAGGCGGUUUGUUAAGUCAGAUGUGAAAUCCCCGGGCUCAACCUGGGAACUGCAUCUGAUACUGGCAAGCUUGAGUCUCGUAGAGGGGGGUAGAAUUCCAGGUGUAGCGGUGAAAUGCGUAGAGAUCUGGAGGAAUACCGGUGGCGAAGGCGGCCCCCUGGACGAAGACUGACGCUCAGGUGCGAAAGCGUGGGGAGCAAACAGGAUUAGAUACCCUGGUAGUCCACGCCGUAAACGAUGUCGACUUGGAGGUUGUGCCCUUGAGGCGUGGCUUCCGGAGCUAACGCGUUAAGUCGACCGCCUGGGGAGUACGGCCGCAAGGUUAAAACUCAAAUGAAUUGACGGGGGCCCGCACAAGCGGUGGAGCAUGUGGUUUAAUUCGAUGCAACGCGAAGAACCUUACCUGGUCUUGACAUCCACGGAAGUUUUCAGAGAUGAGAAUGUGCCUUCGGGAACCGUGAGACAGGUGCUGCAUGGCUGUCGUCAGCUCGUGUUGUGAAAUGUUGGGUUAAGUCCCGCAACGAGCGCAACCCUUAUCCUUUGUUGCCAGCGGUCCGGCCGGGAACUCAAAGGAGACUGCCAGUGAUAAACUGGAGGAAGGUGGGGAUGACGUCAAGUCAUCAUGGCCCUUACGACCAGGGCUACACACGUGCUACAAUGGCGCAUACAAAGAGAAGCGACCUCGCGAGAGCAAGCGGACCUCAUAAAGUGCGUCGUAGUCCGGAUUGGAGUCUGCAACUCGACUCCAUGAAGUCGGAAUCGCUAGUAAUCGUGGAUCAGAAUGCCACGGUGAAUACGUUCCCGGGCCUUGUACACACCGCCC
rnacentral:rRNA from 1 species